AUGACCUCGGGGGCAAAAGUAGGGGGUCCUCAGCGCUUCCAGACCGGCUCCCAGAGACCGGAGCCCACCCGCGCCUCAGGCAGGAGGCGCGGGACUCGGGCUUCGGGCCAGACACCAGCCGGGCGCCGCCGCUCACCUCGAGCGGCCUCACCUGCCUCUCCCCGGAAACCCAGGCGCCGCCCCACCCUCCCCGCUUUCCCGGGACCCACACAGCAAUGGCGCAGCCGGAAACUGGCCCCGCGACUUCCUCAGGCCGGAUCCGGGCGAGGGCCGGCCUGUGGGCGGGUUGGGAGAGUCGCGGCUUCCGCCUUCCUGCUUCCGGCCUGGAGGCGCCGUGCGGGUCUGAUCCGAAGAUCAUGCCUGGUGGAUCCUUUCCGGAAGGAAGAAGAAGAAUAUUUAUUCCUUAAAGUGUGGAGGGCGCUUGCACCUGGGGUCCGAAAUUGAGGUGCACGGGAGUAUAUAGAAUUUAAACCUUCUCUCAGAAGUGUAUUGGUGAAGUUAAAGAAGAAGACAGCCAACCAAAGGUCAUCUGAAAUUGUGACUGGCUGAUAAUCCCAGGACAAAAUUAGAGACCACUACUCAAGCAUAAG
rnacentral:lncRNA from 1 species